rnacentral:rRNA from 1 species
CAGUCGCCGCGGUAAUACGUAGGUGGCAAGCGUUGUCCGGAAUUAUUGGGCGUAAAGGGCUCGCAGGCGGUUUCUUAAGUCUGAUGUGAAAGCCCCCGGCUCAACCGGGGAUGGUCAUUGGAAACUGGGAAACUUGAGUGCAGAAGAGGAGAGUGGAAUUCCACGUGUGGCGGUGAAAUGCGUAGAGAUGUGGAGGAACACCAGUGGCGAAGGCGACUCUCUGGUCUGUAACUGACGCUGAGGAGCGAAAGCGUGUGGAGCGAACAGGAUUAGAUACCCCCGUAGUCCCUGUCUCUUAUAA